rnacentral:rRNA from 1 species
UGGGGAAUAUUGCACAAUGGGCGCAAGCCUGAUGCAGCCAUGCCGCGUGUAUGAAGAAGGCCUUCGGGUUGUAAAGUACUUUCAGCGGGGAGGAAGGGAGUAAAGUUAAUACCUUUGCUCAUUGACGUUACCCGCAGAAGAAGCACCGGCUAACUCCGUGCCAGCAGCCGCGGUAAUACGGAGGGUGCAAGCGUUAAUCGGAAUUACUGGGCGUAAAGCGCACGCAGGCGGUUUGUUAAGUCAGAUGUGAAAUCCCCGGGCUCAACCUGGGAACUGGAUCUGAUACUGGCAAGCUUGAGUCUCGUAGAGGGGGGUAGAAUUCCAGGUGUAGCGGUGAAAUGCGUAGAGAUCUGGAGGAAUACCGGUGGCGAAGGCGGCCCCCUGGAAGAAGACUGACGCUCAGGUGCGAAAGCGUGGGGAGCAAACAGG